rnacentral:rRNA from 1 species
CCUACGGGAGGCAGCAGUGAGGAAUCUUGCGCAAUGGGCGAAAGCCUGACGCAGCGACGCCGCGUGGAGGAUGAAGGCCUUCGGGUCGUAAACUCCUGUCGAGAGGGACGAAAGCUGGGGAAGCGAAUAACUUCCUCGGUUGACGGUACCUGCAAAGGAAGCCCCGGCUAACUCCGUGCCAGCAGCCGCGGUAAUACGGAGGGGGCUAGCGUUGUUCGGAAUUACUGGGCGUAAAGGGCGCGUAGGUGGCCGCGCAAGUCGAACGUGAAAUCCCUCGGCUCAACCGGGGAACUGCGUCCGAUACUGCGUGGCUUGAGUCCCGGAGAGGGUAGUGGAAUUCCCAGUGUAGCGGUGAAAUGCGUAGAUAUUGGGAGGAACACCAGUGGCGAAGGCGGCUACCUGGACGGGUACUGACACUGAGGCGCGAAAGCUAGGGGAGCAAACAGGAUUAGAUACCCUGGUAGUCCUAGCUGUAAACGAUGGGCACUUGGUGUUGCGGGUAUCGACCCCUGCAGUGCCGAAGCUAACGCAUUAAGUGCCCCAACAGUGGGGAGUACGGUCGCAAGGCUGAAACUCAAAGGAAUUUGACGG